UAUACAUCCUCGAAGGGGAUUUCCUGGUGAUGCUAAUGGUAAAGAACCCACCUGCCAAUGCAGAAGACAUGAGACUCGGGUUCCACCCCUGAUUUGGGAAGACCCCCCCAGAGGAGCGCAUGGCAACCCACUGUUGUAUUCUCACCUGGAGAAUCCCAUGGACAGGGGAGCCCGGCAGGCUACAGCCCAUAGGGUUGCAAAGAGUUGGACACGACUGAAAGGACUCAGCACCCAGGCAUACAUCUUUUAAAUCAAGAAAAUGUGUAAUAAGCUUAUAUAUACACACAGCAUUUUCGGAAGAGCUGGUUGUUCAACAUUUUCCAGCACAUUAUUGGGGAGAGGGCAUCUCAUCUCAGUCUGCCAUGCUGUCAAACUGCUCUCCAGAUUCUGUUGACUUAAAAUUCCAUAUCAAUCUAAUUCCUACAGCUAAAAUGUAAGUCUUUAGACUUUAAAUAGGUGGGUAUUUUAAAUAUUGUGCCUUAUUUGGGAAAUCUCUAUCUCAAAUCGAGUUUCUUUCCUUUGUGGCUCAUACUGUGUGGACUACCUGAGCUGUAUUCUCCUGAGCCAGACGUGGGAAUGAAAAUAGCAUGGAGAUGGAAACUUCCAGGAGAUGUCCUCCGCCCACCGUAUGGAAUGGCUAAAUGCCAAGAAACACUCACCUCCCAUGUUCUGUCAGCACAUGGACAGCAAACGGGGGUGUCUUGGAGAUGAUGUUGUACAGACGGGCUCAGCAACACAAGAGACGGAAACUGAAGCACACGGAGGAAGACGAUUUUCCUAAAGCCACAUAGAAGGGGCAGAGUCAAGACUCCACCCAUGAUCCAGAGCCACACCCCCAACAAUGAGCUGCUGAUGGAAACCCUGUGAAGUCUGAACCUACCUUGAUGCUGCUGGAAGUCCCCUCUCUCCUGCCUCCCCUCCGCUCAACUUCCAGGAUUAGAACUGGAAGAACCUGAUCGUCCUGAGCGCUAUUCUGGAAGGAACUCCCAGGAGUUCCCCAGGGGAGAGUUAGGGACCAGGUGCUGGCCUACUGCAUGGCUCUGAGGCUCAGUUUCCUUAUUUGUAAAAUCACCGACUUGGAAGGAAGGACCUCUGGGGUGCCUUGGCUGCUUGUCAGCUCCCUGGGGCUCUUCUGCCCGUCAAGUCCCCGAGGCAGAGUGGCUUCUCCAACCUCAGUCCCUCCACAGUCCCUCUGGGGUGAUUUCCGUAGCCCUUUGGAAGCUGUCAAUCCCUCUGAGAAGUCAAUGAAAGUUUAAGCUAAUCCUCUGAAGAAAACAAUGCACAUUUUUAUUUCUUUAACUUCUUUUAAGUAAAACUGAUUUCCAAG
ensembl:lncRNA